CCUUUGAAUUCUUGGUAUUUCUACGAUUGUAUAAUGAUCCUGGGUGCAUUCUCUGCCUGUGAUUCUCCCUUUGCAGGUCAGGGGACUGGACCUCAUGCUGCAGGCUCAGGGCAGCUGUCUGUUGCUUCCUCUCAUCUCUAGCUGGUAUCGGGACAAUUGCUGCCACGUUUGUUUCUUGUUCAGGACCCGUUUUAAAGAAGGGAUGGCAUACUUCUUCUGAGGGCAGGGGAAGAUUUCUUCUCAACAUGUUUUCAGAAAACAUUUAUAUUAACACAAACUUCAAAAAUAAAUUUGAUUCCUCAGACCUCAAUGCUGACUCUCCUCCAGCUCCUCAAAAGAAGACCACGACUCAUGAAAGCUGUCACAGAUUCUCCAAGGUCCUCCUCACCUCAUUCACAGUCUAUUUCCUGCUGUUGACAACCUUGUUCUCUGUUGCUCUGAUCACUUUGUUUAAAAAAUAUUCUCAGCUUCUUGAUGAAAAAGCAAUCAUAAAAGAACUGAAUUACACCGAAUUAGAGUGUACAAAACAGAAUUUAUUCUUGAAAGACAAAGUCUGGAGCUGUUGCCCAAAGGACUGGAAGCCAUUUAGUUCCCACUGCUACUUCACUGUGACUGACUCAGCAUCUUGGGAAGAGAGUGAGGAGAAGUGCUCCAGCAUGGGUGCUCAUCUGAUGGUGAUCCACAGCCAGGAAGAGCAGGAUUUUAUCUCCAAGAUCCUGGAUCCUAAAGCUGCUUAUUAUAUUGGGCUUUCAGAUCCAGGUCACCGACAGUGGCGAUGGGUUGAUCAGACACCAUACAAUGAAAGUGCCACGUUCUGGCACCCAGGUGAGCCCAGCAGCGACAACGAACAAUGUGUUAUAGUAAGUCAUCCAUAUUCUAGUUGGGGCUGGAAUGACGUCCCUUGCAGUGGUAAACAGAAGUCAGUUUGUCAGAUGAACGAAAUAUACCUAUGAAUCAAGCUUUCUCCGUAGACAUGGAUUGUAUUUUUAUCCAGCACUACAUGGACACCUGGAAAGAUCUUCUUGGGGAAGAGAUGUCCAUAGAUAUUUAGCUCCUCAAAAGAAGACCAUGACUCAUGAAAGUUGUUACAGAUUCCCCAAGGUCCUCCUCACCUCAUUCACAGUCUGUUUCCUGCUGUUGACAAUCUUAUUCUCCAUUGCUCUGAUCAGUAAGUAUAAUAAUGGGACAAGUAAACAAGAGAAGGAAAGGGAACCAUCAGACAGAUGGUGACGCAGAAACCUGAGACAGACACUUUCUGGGGAAUUGGAUACAUUGGGAAUUUCCCUCUGGUUCAGAAUAACUCUUCUGUAAAAGUCAUUCAUUCUCACUAGAGAAGCAUGUGUGUGUUUUUGGUGUCACAGAGUGAAAUACUGGGGCAGCUGUGUUAGGCUCUAGUACUGAAGAUGAAUCUGUAUUUUCUCAUCAGCAGCAUUUAGAGGUCAGAUCCAUUGGAUGCACAGAUAUUUGUAAUUUGGAAUAAGCAGGGUGAUGAGAAGAGAUGGCCAGAGCUAUUCCAGGGACUGUGCUUCAGUGGAGUUCCUUCUAAUCAUUUAUUUUUUUUUUUUGCUCCAGAUUGUGUGAGACCUGGAAGCUAAUUUAGAAAAUAGUGGAUUUCUUUGUAGA